UUGUUUUAUUCUUGAGUUCAACAUUAGAAGUCUAUGAAAUUUAGCAAAGUUUUGAUGAGCAUUGUUUAAUUCUUGAGUUCCACAAUAGAAGUCUAUGCACUUUAGGCAAAGCUUUGAUGAGCAUUGUUUCAUUAUUGAGUUCCACAUUAUAAGUCUAUGCAAUUUAGCAAAGCUUUGAUGAGCAUUGUUUAAUUCUUGAGUUCCACAAUAGAAGUAGUAUUCGUAAUUUAGCAAGGCUUUGACGAGCAAUUCUUUAUUCUUGAGUUACACAAUAGUAGUCUAUGCAAUUUAAGCAAAGCAUUGACGAGCAGUGUUUCAUUCUUGAUUUCCACAUUUGAGGUCUACACAAUUUUGCAAAGCUUUGAUGAGCAUCGUUUCAUUCUUGAGUUCCACAAUAGAAGUCUAUGCAAUUUAAGCAAAGCAUUGAUAAGCAUUGUUUUGUUCUUGAGUUCCACAAUAGAAGUCUAUGCAAUUUAGCAAAGCUAUCUUAAGCAUUGUUUCAUUCUUGGGUUCCACAUUAGAAGUCUUUGCAAUUUAGCAAAGCAUUGAUGAGCAUUGAUUAGUUCUUGAGUUCCACAAUAGAAGUAGUCUUUGCAAUUUAUCAAAGCUUUGAUGAGCAUUAUUUAAUUCCUGAGUUCCACAAUAGAAGUGGAUGUAAUUUAACAAAGCUUUGAAGAGCAUUGUUUCAUUCUUGAGUUUCACAUUAGAAGUCUAUUGAAUUUAGCAAAGCUUUGAUGAGCAUUGUUUAAUUCGUCAGUUCCAUAAUAGUAGUCUUCGCAAUUUAGCAAGGCUUUGAAGAGCAUUUCUUUAUUCUUGAGUUCCACAAUAUAAGUCUAUGCAAUUUAAGCAAAGCUUUGAUGAGCAUUGUUUUAUUAUUGUGUUCCACAUUAGAAGUCUAUGCAAUUUAGCGAAGCUUUGAUGAGUAUCCUUUAAUUGUGUUCCUCAAUAGAACUCUAUAAAAUUUAAGCAAAGCUUUUAUUAGCAUUGUUUGAUUCUUGAGUACAACAAAAGAAGUCUAUGCAAUUUAGCAAAGCAUUCAUGAGCAUUCUUUCAUUCUUGGGUUCCACAUUAGAAGUGUAUGCAAUUUAGCAAUGCUUUGAUGAGAAUUGCUUAAUACUUGAGUUCCACAAUAGAAGUCUAUGCAAUUUAGCAAAGCCUUGAUGAGCAUUAUUUAAUUCUUGAGUUCCACAAUAGAAGUAGUCGUUGCAAUUUAAUAAAGCUUUGAUGAGCAUUGUUUAAUUCUUUGGUUCCACAAUAGAAGUGUAUGCAAUUUUUGCAAAGCUUUGAUGAGCAUUGUUUCUUUCUUUAGUUCCACAUUAGAAGUCUAUGCAAUUCAGAAAAGCUUUGAUGAACAUUUUUUAUUGAGUUCCACAAUAGAAGUGGUCUUCGUAAUUUAGCAAAGCUUUGAUGAGUAUUGUUUAGUUCUUGAGUUCCAUAAUAGAAGUAGUCUUCGCAAUUUAGCGAAGCUUUGAUGAGCAUUUCUUUAUUUUUGAGUUCCACAAUAGUAGUCUAUGCAAUUUAAGCAAAGCUUUGACGAGAAUUGUUUCAUUCAUGAGUUCCACAUUACAAGUCUACGCACAUUGGCAUAGCUUGGAUGAGCAGCGUUUCGUUCUUGAGUUCCACAAUAGAAGUCUAUGCAAUUUAAGCAAAGCUUUGAUGAGCAUUGUUUGAUUCUUGAGUUCCACAAUAGAUCUCUAUUCAAUUUUGCAAAGCUUUCAUGAGCAAUGUUUCAUUCUUGGGUUCCACAUUAGAUGUCUAUGCAAUUUAGCAAAGCAUUGAUGACCAAUGUUUAGUUCUUGAGUUCCACAAUAGAAGAGUCUUUGCAAUUUAGCAAAGCUUCGAUGAGCAUUGUUUAAUUCUUGAGUUUCACAAUAGAAGUGAAUGCAAUUUAAAAAAAAGCUUAGCUGAGGAUUGUUUUAUUCUUGAGUUCAACAUUAGAAGUCUAUGAAAUUUAGCAAAGUUUUGAUGAGCAUUGUUUAAUUCUUGAGUUCCACAAUAGAAGUCUAUGCACUUUAAGCAAAGCUUUGAUGAGCAUUGUUUCAUUAUUAAGUUCCACAUUAUAAGUCUAUGCAAUUUAGCAAAGCUUUGAUGAGCAUUGUUUAAUUCUUGAUUUCCACAAUAGAAGUAGUAUUCGUAAUUUAGCAAGGCUUUGACGAGCAAUUCUUUAUUCUUGAGUUACACAAUAGUAGUCUAUGCAAUUUAAGCAAAGCAUUGACGAGCAGUGUUUCAUUCUUGAUUUCCACAUUUGAGGUCUACGCAAUUUUGCAAAGCUUUGAUGAGCAUCGUUUCAUUCUUGAGUUCCACAAUAGAAGUCUAUGCAAUUUAAGCAAAGCAUUGAUAAGCAUUGUUUUGUUCUUGAGUUCCACAAUAGAAGUCUAUGCAAUUUAGCAAAGCUAUCUUAAGCAUUGUUUCAUUCUUGGGUUCCACAUUAGAAGUCUUUGCAAUUUAGCAAAGCAUUGAUUAGUUCUUGAGUUCCACAAUAGAAGUAGUCUUUGUAAUUUAUCAAAGCUUUGAUGAGCAUUAUUUAAUUCUUGAGUUCCACAAUAGAAGUGGAUGUAAUUUAACAAAGCUUUGAAGAGCAUUGUUUCAUUCUUGAGUUUCACAUUAGAAGUCUAUUGAAUUUAGCAAAGCUUUGAUGAGCAUUAUUUAAUUCUUGAGCUCCAUAAUAGUAGUCUUCGCAAUUUAGCAAGGCUUUGAAGAGCAUUUCUUUAUUCUUGAGUUCCACAAUAUAAGUCUAUGUAAUUUAAGCAAAGCUUUGAUGAGCAUUGUUUUAUUCUUGUGUUCCACAUUAGAAGUCUAUGCAAUUUAGCGAAGCUUUGAUGAGCAUCGUUUUAUUGUGUUCCAUAAUAGAAGUAUAUAAAAUUUAAGCAAAGCUUUGAUUAGCAUUGUUUGAUUCUUGAGUUCAACAAUAGAUGUCUAUGCAAUUUAGCAAAGCAUUCAUGAGCAUUCUUUCAUUCUUGGGUUCCACAUUAGAAGUCUAUGCAAUUUAGCAAUGCUUCGAUGAGCAUUGCUUAAUACUUGAGUUCCACAAUAGAAGUCUAUGCAAUUUAGCAAAGCAUUGAUGAGCAUUAUUUCAUUCUUGAGUUCCACAAUAGAAGUAGUCGUUGCAAUUUAAUAAAGCUUUGAUGAGCAUUGUUUAAUUCUUUGGUUCCACAAUAGAAGUGUAUGCAAUUUUUGCAAAGCUUUGAUGAGCAUUGUUUCUUUCUUUAGUUCCACAUUAGAAGUCUAUGCAAUUCAGAAAAGCUUUGAUGAACAUUUUUUAUUGA
rnacentral:lncRNA from 1 species